GCCUCCUCAGAGACGGUCAGCCUGGGCUGGACACCUGGGUUCGACGGGGGCUUCAGCCAGACGUUCCGAGUGAGAUACGCACCGGUGCGGCAGCCGGCGCCCGAGCAGCACGUGCACGUGCCGCACGGUACGUACGAGGCCACCGUGCGCCGGCUGCGAGGUGGCACGCGCUACCGCUUCUCUGUGUCCGCCCACAACCGGCUGGGAGAGAGCAGGUCAUCACUGCACCAGGUUUCCAGCACCGGCACAGAGCGGCCUGCGUCGGCCCGUGACCCGACCCGAACGCCGGCCGGGUCGCUCCGCCCAC